rfam:Vigna angularis cultivar Jingnong 6 scaffold3_1, whole genome shotgun sequence.
CGGUUCGAUCAUACAAACACUAAUGCAUCGGAUCCCAUCAGAACUCUGUAGUUAAGCGUGCUUGGGCAAGAGUAGUACUAGGAUAGGUGACCUCUUGAGAAGUCCUCGUGUUGCACUUC